GAGAAAAGUUAAUUUAAAAAAUGAAAAGAAAUGACGUGGCAUCAUGCUUUUAUACGACACUCGGCUUUUACCCGCCAGAAUACUCGAGCCAUUGCGAUCUCCUUCUCGCUUCCAAGGCACGGAGGUCGACGGUGAUCGAAGAUGAACCGAGAGAGCUCGGUUGAUCGGUGAACUUGACAGCAGAGUGGCGUUUCUUGCCUUCUGUGCACUCUAUAAUGGUUAGUUAGAGUUUUCAGUUCAACUGAUAUUGCUGUGGCACUCGUAUUCUUUCCUUAAUAGUCAUAAUGGAGGAAGUCGUUUACAUAUUUUUCUCUUCGACUGGUGUUCUUUUGAGUUUGGUUUUUAUCGAGAUUUGCGUUUGCGCAUCUCAGACUUGAUAAUGCUUGUUUCGGUCUUCUUAACUAUUUAAAUUAUGAUGUGAUAAACAGGCGGAUAUUAGAAAGUGGUUCAUGAAAGCACACGAUAAAGACAGCGGCAAUGCGUCAAAGCAUGCAAAACCUGCUCCAAGCAAUUUUGAGAAAUCUGCUUCAACUGAACUCUACAGUCCGGAAAAACAGUGUGUCUUCUGACCCUACUCUUCUUAGCAGUAUAGAUGGCAUGUUCCAAGUAUCAUUAUAUUCUUGAUUCAUCUCCAGUUUCUCUAUCUGCGUAUUUCGCUGGUCCUUUAUUCUAUAAAAACUCCUUGUUAUGUGGAUGGAUUAUUGAUGUCUGUUUCUGGAACCAUAGUUCUUGUAUGACUUGGUGUAUCUGGUGUUUCUGAAGGAAAAUGGAGCUAUAUUUAAUACCUGGUCUUGACUUCAUUUCUGAUGAGGUGUCAUAAAAAGCACAUAAUCUUGAUGUUAAUUAAUUGUCUCUAGUUUUUGGCUUGAUCCUGCAAGAAAGAUAAACUCAGAAUAGAAAAACUCUUGGUAUUCUGGUUCGUAAAUAGAAAGGAUGCACUUCAGAACGAGUAAAAGCAGCUAGAUAUGUUCGAGUAAAAGCAGCUUGACGUUAAAAUGUUAGAGGUGUUGAUGAGGGAGGAUGAAUAUUGGCGACAAAAGACCUCAUGAUGGAAAGUUAGAUGCGGAGUCUUGUUACCGAGCAGGAGACACCAAAUCUGAAGUUAUUUGGUUACUUCAACAACUUACUUUAACAAGAAAGUUGGACGAAAGUGGCUUUCUCGUAUUAGGGCAUGCCUGGAGAUUCUUAUGGUAACUGCUGGAAUGGAAGCUGAGAAUGGGAUGUCUUGUUGAGAUGACAUUUUGUAGAUGCAGGGAUUUCAGGAGGCUUGACUCAUUGGUCUUAUGAAAUUUUACAAAAAAA